ACAUGACCACUAGUCCUUCUAA
rnacentral:misc_RNA from 1 species